rnacentral:lncRNA from 1 species
CAUAUUUUCUAGUGUUUUACAUAAAUGGAAUCAUACGCCCGAGUGGCCAUGCUCCCAGGCUGUCCUUCCACAGCCACACAGCCCAUCAAGGCAUUCUGCUCAACGAAGACUUUUCCUUCCUCUGAAAGAGACUUUCCUGCUAAACAACUUUUUUCCUUACUACAAUCUGAUUGCAGUAAGCAAGGAUGGCAUAACAUAACCAUCCAAAUAAGUUGAAAACUUUUGCCCACACAAAAACCUGCACACUGAUUCAUAUUUGCCAACACUUGGAAGCAACCAAGAUGUCCUUCAACAGAUGAAUAGAUAAACAAAACGUGGCACAUCCAGACAAUGGAAUAUGAUACAGCAGGAAAAAGAAAUGAGCUCCGGACAUUCUGGAAAGGUAAAACUACAGAGAUCAUAAAAAGAUCAUCUCUUUGAAGUCUGGGUAUUUGGUAAAAACAAAUCAGUGGUUAACAGGGGCUUGGAUGGGGGAGGGAGGGAUGAAUAGGUGGUGCACAGAGGAUUUUUAGGGUAGUGAAAUGAUUCUGUUUGAGAGUGGAAUGGUGGAUACAUGGCAUUAUGCAUUUGUCAAGAUCCAUGGGACUGUAUAUCACAGAGCGAAUCCUAAUGUGAACUAUGGACUUUAGUUAAUAAAAGUGUUCCUGUAUUGGUGCGUCCGUUUUAGCAGGUACACCCCACUGAUGCCACAUGUUCCUAGUGCUGAGAAGAGACCCUGCUCAGGGUAUGCUCUGACUUUUUUCCUCAGCAUGGUCAGGCUUCCCUUACCCCUUUCUGCCACCCACCUGCCCAUCUGCUG